GCAAGCGUGGUCCGGAAUCAUUGGGCGUAAAGCGCGUGUAGGCGGCUCGAUAAGUCUGCUGUGAAAGUCCAGGGCUCAACCCUGGGAUGCCGGUGGAUACUGUCGAGCUCGAGUCCGGAAGAGGCGAGUGGAAUUCCUGGUGUAGCGGUGAAAUGCGCAGAUAUCAGGAGGAACCCCAAUGGCGAAGGCAGCUCGCUGGGACGGUACUGACGCUGAGACGCGAAAGCGUGGGGAGCAAACAGG
rnacentral:rRNA from 1 species